CAGUCAUAUGAGAUUGAAACACCGGUUCUCGUACGAACACCAAAGUUAAGUAACGUCGGGCCUGGUCAGCACUUAGAGGGGUGACCGACUUAGAAUACCAGGAAUUGUAAU